AGCAGCCGCGGUAAUUCCAGCUCCAAUAGCGUAUAUUAAAGUUGUUGCAGUUAAAAAGCUCGUAGUUGAAUUUCGGGGUUAGUAGGCUGGUCGUGCCACCGGUACGUACUGGUCUUACUGAUUCCUCCUUCCUGAUGAACUGUAAUGCCAUUAAUUUGGUGUUGCAGGGAAUCUGGACUGUUACUUUGAAAAAAUUAGAGUGUUUAAAGCAGGCUAACGCUUGAAUACAUUAGCAUGGAAUAAUGAAAUAGGACGUUCGAUCCUAUUUUGUUGGUUUCUAGGAUUGACGUAAUGAUUAAUAGGGAUAGUUGGGGGCAUUAGUAUUCAAUUGUCAGAGGUGAAAUUCUUGGAUUUAUUGAAGACUAACUACUGCGAAAGCAUUUGCCAAGGAUGUUUUCAUUAAUCAAGAACGAAAGUUAGGGGAUCGAAGACGAUCAGAUACCGUCGUAGUCUUAACCAUAAACUAUGCCGACUAGGGAUCGGAUGAUGUUGAUUUUUUAAUGACUC
rnacentral:rRNA from 1 species